AGACUAUUUGGAAACCACUGCACUAUUAAGUCCAGUGGUUUCCAAAUAGUCUGAU
ensembl:miRNA oni-mir-10596-2 oni-mir-10596-2